CCUACGGGAGGCAGCAGUGAGGAAUAUUGGUCAAUGGACGAGAGUCUGAACCAGCCAAGUAGCGUGAAGGAUGACUGCCCUAUGGGUUGUAAACUUCUUUUAUAUGGGAAUAAAACAGGGUAUGCAUACCCUCUUGUAUGUACCAUAUGAAUAAGGAUCGGCUAACUCCGUGCCAGCAGCCGCGGUAAUACGGAGGAUCCGAGCGUUAUCCGGAUUUAUUGGGUUUAAAGGGAGCGUAGGUGGAUUGUUAAGUCAGUUGUGAAAGUUUGAGGCUCAACCGUAAAAUUGCAGUUGAAACUGGCAGGCUUGAGUACAGUAGAGGUGGGCGGAAGGCGUGGUGUAGCGGUGAAAUGCUUAGAUAUCACGAAGAACUCCGAUUGCGAAGGCAGCUCACUGGACUGCAACUGACACUGAUGCUCGAAAGUGUGGGUAUCAAACAGGAUUAGAUACCCGGGUAGUC
rnacentral:rRNA from 1 species